AUAACUAAAUAAAAUAAGUAUUGGUCUCUUAAACCACUAAUAGUAUAUUACUACUUCUAAUGAAAAAG
rnacentral:tRNA from 1 species